GGUGUGUCAAAUGCGAAUGAAGAAAGAGGAAUGUUUUAUUUACUUUUACACUAAAUUGUAAUCAUUUUUAGCAUCAUAUGUUUGUAUUUUGUUUACAAAAUAAAUAGAAUGAAAACAAUUGUAAUGCAAUAACUUAAUAAUUAGCGAGACCUCCAUUCAAUAAAUUAAUAAUGUUUGGGGUACUACAAAAUGUUUGAAAUAUUGUAUUUGAUUGAGGGCUCGUCACAUUGUGUAGCAAACAAGUAGUGAAAUGGAUGAACAAGAAUGGGCUAUCUUCAGACCAUCACCAGAACAAGAACAAGAAUCACAAGAAGGAAGUGCUGCAGAAGGAGAUGCAGACAGAGGUCGAUACAGCUUAAUGAACCGGUGUCCCUCCCAGUCGUCUCUCGAUGAGUCGUCUCAGCGGCGCGAAGGGGGGGAGCAGGAGGCAAGCGCAGCACACGCCACGCAACUACUGGACGCGCUCGCGAGGUUACGGAGAGAUGCGCUGCUCUGUGACGUCAGAAUUAGGGCGCAGAGUGAGGCGUUGGCAGAGGGUUGUGGAGGAGCAGGCGCGGGUGAGGGCGAAGGGGAGGGAGUGUGGGCACACCGCGCGGUACUGGCCGCAUGCUCGCCGUACUUCCGGGCGAUGUUCACUCAGUUCACGGAGCGCACGAGGCCCACCAUUACUAUUCAGAAUGUUGAGCCACAGGCGUUAGAGGCCAUCAUCGAGUACGUUUACAACCCGGACUCACUCGUCAUCACAGAGGACAACGUGCAGGGCCUGCUCUCGGGUGCGUCCCUAGUGCAGGUAGCCGGCGUGCGUGGAGCAUGUUGCUCGUUUCUGUCGGGAGCGCUGUCUCCGGACAACGCCCUCGGAAUCCGAGCCUUCGCAGACCUGCACGCGUGCGACCAGCUAGCGCACGCGGCCACCAACUUCGUGCACAAACACUUCCCCGAGGUGCUGGAGACGGAGGAGUUCCUUACGCUCGACGCGGAAACCCUGGCGCGUCUGCUGGCCAGCGACCACGUCACGGUCCCCAACGAGGAAAUGAUCUUGGAUGCCGUGGUGCGCUGGGUGCAGCACGAGCCCCAGAGUCGCGGGGAGCAGCUGGGUGGACUUCUAGAGCACGUCCGCUUGCCGUUGUUGCCGCAAGACGUGCUGGUGGCCCGCGCUGCGACCGAGCCGCUAGCCUCCGCCUCACUGAGGGUCAAGGACCUGGUGAUUGAGGCGUUAUCGUUCCACCUGCUGCGGCCAGAGCGUCGCGCCGCUGCCGCAGCUGCGUGCCCGCGUGCGCGACCCCGCCGUCCGCCCGCUGCGCCCCAGGUGCUGCUGGUGGUCGGCGGGCAGGCGCCCAAGGCCAUUCGCGAGGUGGAGGCGCUCGAGCUGGGGAGCGGCACGUGGGCGGCGCGCGCCGAGCUGCCGUCGCGGCGCUGCCGGGCCGGCCUGGCGGCGGCCGGCGGCCGUCUGUACGUCGUGGGCGGCUUCAACGGAACACUGCGCGUGCGCAGCGUCGACGUGUACGACCCCCGCGCCGACCGCUGGGCGCCCGGCCCGCCGCUGGCCGCGCGCCGCUCCACACUGGGCGUGGCCGCCCUGGACGGCGUGCUGUACGCGGUCGGCGGGUUCGAUGGUGCCACGGGGCUGAGCUCGGCAGAGGCACUGGAUCCUCGCGCAGGUGGCUGGCGUAGCAUCGCGUCCAUGAGCACUCGCCGCUCUUCUGUGGGCGUGGCCGUGUUGGAGAACCGUCUGUACGCAGUGGGCGGCUACGACGGCGCCUCGCGACAGUGCCUCAGCUCCGUCGAGAGGUACGACCCGGCCGCAGACCGCUGGGAGAGCGUCGCGGAGAUGAGCGCGCGGCGGUCGGGCGCCGGAGUGGGCGUGGCCGCCGGCGCGCUGUACGCCCUGGGCGGCCACGACGGGCCCGCUGUACGCCGCUGUGCCGAGCGCUACCGGCCGGCCGCGGGCUGGAGCGCGGCGCCGCACAUGCACUCGGCGCGGCGGAACGCAGCCGUGGCCGCGCACCGCGACCGUCUGUACGUGGUGGGCGGGGACGACGGCGCCGCCAACCUGGCCAGCGUUGAGGUUUUCGACCCGUCCACGGACCAGUGGAGCAUGUUGUCGACCACGAUGUCAGUGGGUCGCUCGUACGCGGGCGUGGCGGUCGUCGACAGUCCCCUCUGACCGUCGGCCCCCGCCCCCGGGCGGGAUCUCGACCCCAUCUACGCGGAGCCCCCCUCGCGGCGCCCCCUCACCUGCAGAGCUCAUCAGGUGGAGCAGGGUGUGUACGAGAGCGUGGAGGGUAUGGGUGCCGGGCGAGGCACGUUGUACCGCAGGUGGCGGGGCGGUGCGGGGAGCGCGGGCCCGGGGGCGUGUCGCCACCGCAACUCACAGACACUGGAGUUUCAUGACACGCGGCGUCACCGACAUGGUGCGGUGGCGGGCGUCGUACGCGGCGUCUGCGUUGGCGUACGCGGCGCGACGGGCGCUCGCUUGUCCGCCUCGUGCUCCACCAUCGACCGCCCGCGAGUUCUUUUAGUCCGCGCACACCAUCUGCUACCAGAGAGCCACCAUCACCAGCACUCACGCUGCCGGAUUGGUGAGCAGUGGUGCUGCGAGGCAGAUGAAGACAGCGCCGAGCCCGAGCACGCGCACCCGCUCGCCGAGCCGCUCGUCGAGCCGCGCGCCGUGCUGCGUGCCGAACAUGACUCUGAGUCAGACACGGAACCGGAUGCGGCAGCUGCCGAGCCCGAGCGUCCCUGAGCUUGCUGAGCAUGACCCGGAUGCCAACAAGGCCGGCACUAGAUGCUCGCCUCGAUACGAAAUCAUAUUUUUUAUAAGUACUAGUUUUAUAGUAAAUUUCUAUUCUCUAUUUUAAUAUAUUAAACUAUAAUUAACCAAUUUAAUGAUAAAUUAUAGAUUCACCAAGGACGUAGAAAAAUCCAAGGACGAUUUUGUUUUUUUAUGAUUUAUGAUUUUGAUUACUUUACGCUUUGUGAGCAUUCCUGAAUUUUCUGGGGCGGGGCAAGGGGUGGCGAAUCUCUACCCCCUUGCAUUCCAUGGAUGUUUAUUCUUACUAUGGAGGGGGUGCACCGAAGUACCACCUCUACUGCUCUUGAUAUAUCCUUGUAUGAACAAAGUAAUAUAACAUUAGUAAAAGCCACAAUUUAAUUUAUUAAAACUGUUGGAUAGGUUAUGUAAUAGCCGCAUAUGUAUAUUAAAUAGGUAGAUAAUAUUGUACAGUUUGUUUGUUUGUUUGGAUACAUAGGUCAAUUUUAUUGUUAUACCGUGCAAUAAUUACAUAACUAUUGAAAUUGUAUUAUGUGAUUUAAAUUCGGUAAAGUGAGGGUAGCCUUCAUAUUGUGUGUGUGACGAGUAAAAGACAACUGAAAACUGUGAACAACUAUCAAUACUCACAUUUGAGACUCAUUAUAUGCCCCUCUUAGUUGGAUAGCUGAUUAUAUAUUAGAGUUAGCAUCUGAAUAUAAUAUUAUUAUGA